rnacentral:rRNA from 1 species
UACGGAAGGGGCAAGCGUUGUUCGGAAUCAUUGGGCGUAAAAGGGCGCGUAGGUGGUUCUGUAUGUCUACCGUGAAAGCGUACGGCUCAACCGUAUUUUGUCGGUGGAAACUGCAGGACGUUGAGGCUGGGAGGGGCUGGUGGAAUUCCCUGUGUAGCGGUGAAAUGCGUAGAGAGUGGGGGAGAACACUCGUGGCGAAGGCGGCCAGCUAGACCAGUUCUGACACUGAGGCGCGACAGCGUGGGGAGCAAACAGG